rnacentral:rRNA from 1 species
GAUGAACGCUGGCGGCGUGCCUAAUACAUGCCAGUCGAGCGAACAGAUAAGGAGCUUGCUCCUUUGACGUUAGCGGCGGACGGGUGAGUAACACGUGGGUAACCUACCUAUAAGACUGGGAUAACUUCGGGAAACCGGAGCUAAUACCGGAUAAUAUUUCGAACCGCAUGGUUCGAUAGUGAAAGAUGGUUUUGCUAUCACUUAUAGAUGGACCCGCGCCGUAUUAGCUAGUUGGUAAGGUAACGGCUUACCAAGGCGACGAUACGUAGCCGACCUGAGAGGGUGAUCGGCCACACUGGAACUGAGACACGGUCCAGACUCCUACGGGAGGCAGCAGUAGGGAAUCUUCCGCAAUGGGCGAAAGCCUGACGGAGCAACGCCGCGUGAGUGAUGAAGGUCUUCGGAUCGUAAAACUCUGUUAUUAGGGAAGAACAUACGUGUAGGUAACUGUGCACGUCUUGACGGUACCUAAUCAGAAAGCCACGGCUAACUACGUG